UUCAUUGGAUCCUUGUACAUCAACUAUUGCAUGUCUUUCUUGGAAUGCAUGUAAAAAAGGGUGCUUGCUUGAAAAUAAUGAGAGAAGAGAUUUUGUUUCUGGAGACCCAACAAUAGAUUGAGCACAAUAUUCUAUGAGCUUUUGCCCAAUCCAGUCACAGUAUGAAGAACACAUGGGAGAGGGAUAUGGAUGACAAGCAAGAGAAGGUAAAUUUUUAUAUGGGGAAGGGCUAAGACUAAAAUGAGAGCAACUUCUAACCAUUGAAUCUCUCAUAAUAGCAAGUAAAGUAAGUCUUCCGUUUGUAUCUUGAGGGUUGAAUGAAAAGAAAUUGAAUUGAGUGGAGUUGAAGUGAAAAAUUUCAACUCAAGACGAGAGAAAAGGACUCUGAGUCAUGGCCACCUGAAGUGAGGUUUUUCAUAUCAUGGAAACUCAAGACCCCACCCCAAGCAUAUCUCUAGCACCAAAACAUGAUUCAAAAGAUUGUCUUCUGAAAAUGUUUUCUCUUCAAAUAUUGCCAAUGAGGGUUAUGGUGAUAUUUAUGGCAGAAUAAUACAAAGGCAGUGUCUCAUUAAAAGCUGAUAUACUCUUGGAAGGGCUCUUACACAAAGUCAGUAGCAGGAAGAUUGUGGUCAAUUUACCCAAAGUUAAACAUAGAAUCAUUUAACAACACCAUCCCCAAGAAGCUACAGCCGCUGUUAAACAGCCUAUGGCUCCUUCCAGUAGAAUUCCCAAAAUGAGAGCUACUUUUGCUACAAAUGAAAUGCUCGCUGACCAGUGCUCUGUGCAAUUAUAAAACAAGAAUGCUGAGGGGAGAGAAUAGGAUGGAAAGGGAGAAGGAGAAAGAGAAUAUGUAGAGAGUGGGAAGUGAAGCCAUUACCUGGAUAAAAAAUACCUGAUCAGAAUUUUUCAAAAUGCGUUGAAGGGAGAACAAAUUUUAGAAAUAUCAGAGAUAAAGAAGUAAUUAUUUCAAGUGAAUCUAAUGAUGAAAACUUGAAGUUACUGCAGAUUCAUUGUGAAAAAUAAACUUGGAUAGAAAAAUAGUUUAGAUAUAAGA
rnacentral:lncRNA from 1 species